AUGUGUAGCACAAUUGGGCUUAGAGAUAUUCCAGUUCUUUGCUAUUGCAAAAAAUUGAUGUUUUAAAUUUGUAUUGGUUUAUAUGGGAUCUUUCAGUGAGAAAAUUUUUAAUCCUACCUACACUUAAACAAGAAUCCUCUCUAAAACUAUUAUAAGAUCAUUAAACCCUACCACUUCCCUUCAUUUUACAGAUGAGGAAAAUGAGACAGAGAGUAAGGUACUUGCCCAGCAUCACAGGACUAGUAAGUGUCUGAGGCAGAAUUGGAAGUCAGAUCUUCUUGAUUCCAAGCUAAGAAUUCUGUCCAUUACUCCACCCAGGACCCAGGAUUGAAUGUUCAUUCAACUUUUGCUUGAAGAGCUCCACUGACCAGGAACCCACUACUUCCCAAGGCAGCUGGUUGUACUUUUGGACAGCUCUUAAUUGUUAGUAUUUUUCUCACUCUAAACCCAAGGGUAUUUCUUUGAAACAAAUUGCUUUGCCUUCUAGGGCCAAGAAGAGCAAAUGCAUACACUCUCCAUGUGACAGCCUUGGUCUAUACAUAGAUACUGCUUAAUUCUUGAGGCAAGAAAGGAGGAAACAUCAUCAUCAUGAUCAUGAGAACAGCUAACAAGCAUCGCAUUUGCUCUUCACAGUAUCCAUCAGAAGCAGAAACGCUUAGCAAGGUUGCAGAUGAAGGACACCCACUGCUGGAAACAGUGCUGAAGAUAUAUUCUUGGACUCAAGAAGGAAACGCAGAGGACGCAUUAUCUUGUGGAAUGAUUACUAGACUAAUGAGCCUUGAGGGGCAGGAAAAUUGACUACAAAACAAAUUAAAUAGGCACCUGACAUUCUGGUGUUCUCUAUAUAAACAGGAGACAACAGUCAAGUUUGUACAUGUGUUUGUGUCUAUCUUCCCAUACCCUAUUACUUAUUCAAAUAAACUAAGUAUAAAUUAAUCA
rnacentral:lncRNA from 1 species